rnacentral:rRNA from 1 species
AAUCAACGCUGGCGGCGUGCCUAACACAUGCAAGUCGAACGAGAAAGUGGGGGCAACUCCAUGAGUAAAGUGGCAGACGGGUGAGUAACACGUGAACAACCUACCCUCGAGUGUGGAAUAACACCGCGAAAGCGGUGCUAAUACCGCAUAACAUCUUCGGGUCGCAUGAUCUGGAGAUCAAAAGCGCAAGUUGCUUGAGGAGGGGUUCGCGCCUGAUUAGCUAGUCGGUGAGGUAACGGCCCACCAAGGCUUCGAUCAGUAGCCGGCCUGAGAGGGCGAACGGCCACACUGGAACUGAGACACGGUCCAGACUCCUACGGGAGGCAGCAGUGGGGAAUUUUGCGCAAUGGGCGAAAGCCUGACGCAGCAACGCCGCGUGGAGGAUGAAGGCCUUCGGGUCGUAAACUCCUGUCAGUAGGGACGAAUGCCUCGCAAGAGGUUUGACUGUACCUGCUGAGGAAGCCACGGCUAACUCCGUGCCAGC